GGGCGUAAAGGGCUCGCAGGCGGUUUCUUAAGUCUGAUGUGAAAGCCCCCGGCUCAACCGGGGAGGGUCAUUGGAAACUGGGGAACUUGAGUGCAGAAGAGGAGAGUGGAAUUCCACGUGUAGCGGUGAAAUGCGUAGAGAUGUGGAGGAACACCAGUGGCGAAGGCGACUCUCUGGUCUGUAACUGACGCUGAGGAGCGAAAGCGUGGGGAGCGAACAGGAUUAGAUACCCUGGUAGUCCACGCCGUAAACGAUGAGUGCUAAGUGUUAGGGGGUUUCCGCCCCUUAGUGCUGCAGCUAACGCAUUAAGCACUCCGCCUGGGGGAGUACGGUCGCAAGACUGAAACUCCAAAGGAAUUGGACGGGGGCCCGCACAAGCGGUGGAGCAUGUGGUUUAAUUCGAAGCAACGCGAAGAACCUUACCAGGUCUUGACAUCCUCUGACAAUCCUAGAGAUAGGACGUCCCCUUCGGGGGCAGAGUGACAGGUGGUGCAUGGUUGUCGUCAGCUCGUGUCGUGAGAUGUUGGGUUAAGUCCCGCAACGAGCGCAACCCUUGAUCUUAGUUGCCAGCAUUCAGUUGGGCACUCUAAGGUGACUGCCGGUGACAAACCGGAGGAAGGUGGGGAUGACGUCAAAUCAUCAUGCCCCUUAUGACCUGGGCUACACACGUGCUACAAUGGACAGAACAAAGGGCAGCGAAACCGCGAGGUUAAGCCAAUCCCACAAAUCUGUUCUCAGUUCGGAUCGCAGUCUGCAACUGACUGCGUGAAGCUGGAAUCGCUAGUAAUCGCGGAUCAGCA
rnacentral:rRNA from 1 species